rnacentral:lncRNA from 1 species
AUAUUUGCGGUGGCCGUAUUGUCUCAACAACUAAAGCCAAUUAUUAGUUUUCUCUUUGAAGGAACAUCUCUGUGUUCUUUGAGCGCAGAACUUUAAACCCUUAACCCGUUGUUUAAUGCCCAGCAAGCCAACUUUGAAUGUUGACCAGUCCUUCAAUCAUUUCGGCCCCUCUUAUUCUCUCCUUUUUCUUUCAUUUUGAAUCAUAAGUGACACUUGCAGGUGAUUACAAGAAAGCUGCAUGGAUACUGAGCAUGUCAUAAUGCACACCUUAACUAAAGAUAUAUAAGCUAAUUGUUGGGUAUAGAACCUGCCAAUCAUAUCAACUAUUUUCCUUUUCUUUUUUUGCCCAAUCCUCUGUAAUUCUCUUUCUUUGUAAGAGAAAACACCGCAAAGGAUAAAUUCACCCGCCUUUUCCUGUAUUAAAUACAUGUAUUACUCUCUCUGUCCAGUAGGUGUCUCCCUGUACCAGAUGAAUCUUCGGGUCCCUUGAGAUCCACUACAGAGAGCACUGUAUUAGUUUUUCAGUAGAUCCAUGUUAAUGGUAAAUGAUUAUUGCGUGCGAAUAUAAAUAUUUUGAUACUGGAGUCUAGGAUUAUACCUGUCGUACACACUUAAGGAGUAAAAUUUUCUUAAUUAAUUAUGUUGUUAAUUUUUAUUUUUGUUUUAUUUCAGGGAGUAUCUAGGACGCCAGCUGGAAAAAGAGCAAGGAUCAACAACUACUAUAGCAAAAUCUGCAGCUGGAGUACUCGCUGUUUGCACUUUUGAAUGGUUAAUGUCACACAUGGUCACACAUGACUUUGAGGAUAAAUUUAAACGGUCAUUGUCUACGGUUCAUAUGGACAUGGAAUGAUAUUCACAGCUAUGGGGAAACAUAAACUGAGUGACAAAAGGCAAGGUAUGAGCAAGAUUUUAGAAGGCUUUAAUUGAUAAGAUUUUAUUUUCACUUUACAACACAAUCAAAUAUUACUAUGAAGGCAAUGGUGACACACUCUUGACAGGUGAUGUGAUAGAAACUGAUCAUUAGAUAAACAAUAUUGAGCAUCACUAGAGGUAGACAAGUUUAACACGCAACAUUGAAGAUUUGAAUAGACACAUCAUGAUUGCGGGAUCAUCUACAGUCUGCCCGCUAUGCAGCUUCUGUGAACACAUAAGAUACUUUCCUUAGAAAAAAAUCACUGUAUUUCCAAGUGAAGACAGUGCUCUGCCUUCUGUUCUACAGGCUGCAAACCUUAAAAUUACAGGACUGGGCCAUUGUGGCGCCUAAAAAAGUUGACGUACCAAAAUUGAAUGCGCCAUAGUGCGUAUGCAAAAAGUUAAUUAGGAUCCUAAAAAAUGGGUUUUAAUCCUGCAAAGGUACAGCAGGCACCUGCUAUGGUGCUUGCUCAACACUUCCAUUGAGUCUUCAAUUGACUUAAUGAAGAAUCGUUAAAACUGACAGUACAGGGAGUAAUAAACAAUAAUUACGGUAACAUUUAUGAGUUGUUUUCUUGUUAGACUUGUACUUUUGGAACAGGAGAGUAUUCCAUAAUUUAGUUUCUUGCAGUUUAGAAAAUAGAGAAAAAGUCUGAGGAAUGAAAAGAGGUUUUCUACUGACAAUCUAUCAAAACACUGUGCUUGAGAAGAUGGGAGGCAUCUUGGUGCGAGAACAGACAGAGAUUGUGAACAUGAUUCGUUGCGGAUGAUUCAAAAAAAUUUUACUCUCUGCCGAUCAUGCAGCCUGUGAUCAAAGAAGGAAAUUUUAUUUGAUAACAACUUUAAUAUUCUCUACAUGAAAAGAUGCAUUUCAACCGGUGUUUUCAGUAGACACCUGAAGUGGUAAUCAUUCAACAAUGGAGAAUUUGCAUGCAAAUUUUUAUUGCUUCACCUGAAAGUGCUGAAUGAGCUGAUUUCACAGUAUUUUUUAUAAUUUUUUUCUGAUAUGGGAAAUAGUAUAAAAAUAGAUUUAGAAGUGAGAAAAUACACCGCCUAUAUAGGUACGUCAUCUAGCAGCAUUUCCCAUUUAAACACACGUAUUUUAGCAGAUUAGAUCACUUUGUCAUAUCUUCUCUAAUAAUUGUUCAAUUCGUAAACCAAGGGUAUCCUUGUGUUCAGUUCACUCUGCAAUUUUCACUUAAACAUGGAAUUCAUCAAAUUUUAGACACUUGCAAAUUCUCCAUUAGUCUCCUUUAUUGUAAUGCAUUGCAGAUUGAGUCAA